AUUGAACGCUGGCGGCAGGCCUAACACAUGCAAGUCGAACGAGUGGCGGACGGGUGAGUAAUGUCUGGGAAACUGCCCGAUGGAGGGGGAUAACUACUGGAAACGGUAGCUAAUACCGCAUACCAUCGGAUGUGCCCAGAUGGGAUUAGCUAGUAGGUGGGGUAACGGCUCACCUAGGCGACGGUCCCUAGCUGGUCUGAGAGGAUGACCGGCAACACUGGAACGGAGACCCGGUCCAGACUCCUAGGGGAGGCAGCAGUGGGGAAUAUGGCACAAGGGGCGCAGGCCUAAUGCGGCCAGGCCGCGUGUAUGGAGAAGUCCGUCGGUUUGUAAAGUACUUUCAGCGAGGAGGCGUUACUCGCAGAAGAAGCACCGGCUAACUCCGUGCCAGCAGCCGCGGUAAUUC
rnacentral:rRNA from 1 species